rnacentral:rRNA from 1 species
CCUACGGGUGGCAGCAGUAGGGAAUCUUCCACAAUGGGCGAAAGCCUGAUGCAGCAACGCCGCGUGGGUGAAGAAGGUCUUCGGAUCGUAAAACCCUGUCGUCAGAGAAGAAAGUGCGGGAGAGUAACUGUUCACGCUUCGACGGUAUCUAACCAGAAAGCCACGGCUAACUACGUGCCAGCAGCCGCGGUAAUACGUAGGUGGCAAGCGUUAUCCGGAUUUAUUGGGCGUAAAGGGAACGCAGGCGGUCUUUUAAGUCUGAUGUGAAAGCCUUCGGCUUAACCGGAGUAGUGCAUUGGAAACUGGGAGACUUGAGUGCAGAAGAGGAGGGUGGAACUCCAUGUGUAGCGGUGAAAUGCGUAGAUAUAUGGAGGAACACCAGUGGCGAAGGCGGCUCUCUGGUCUGUAACUGACGCUGAGGUUCGAAAGCGUGGGUAGCAAACAGGAUUAGAUACCCCAGUAGUC